rnacentral:rRNA from 1 species
GACGAACGCUGGCGGCGUGCUUAACACAUGCAAGUCGAACGGAAAGGCCCGGCUUUUGCGGGGUGCUCGAUUGGCGAACGGGUGAGUAACACGUGAGUAACCUGCCCUUGACUUUGGGAUAACUCCAGGAAACUCGGGCUAUUACCGGAUAGGAUCUCUUGCUGCAUGGUGUGGGUUGGAAAGUUUCGGCGGUUGGGGAUGGACUCGCGGCUUAUCAGCUUGUUGGUGGGGUAGUGGCUUACCAAGGCUUUGACGGGUAGCCGGCCUGAGAGGGUGACCGGCCACAUUGGGACUGAGAUACGGCCCAGACUCCUACGGGAGGCAGCAGUGGGGAAUAUUGCACAAUGGGCGGAAGCCUGAUGCAGCAACGCCGCGUGCGGGAUGACGGCCUUCGGGUUGUAAACCGCUUUCGCCUGUGACGAAGAGUGAGUGACGGUAAUGGGUAAAGAAGCACCGGCUAACUACGUG